UACGAAGGUCCCAAGCGUUGUUCGGAAUCACUGGGCGUAAAGGGAGCGUAGGCGGCGUGGUAAGUCAGAUGUGAAAUCCCGGGGCUCAACCCCGGAACUGCAUCCGAUACUGCCAUGCUUGAGGGUUGGAGAGGUAGCUGGAAUUAUCGGUGUAGCAGCGAAAUGCGUGGAUAUCGAUAGGGACACUCGUGGCGAAGGCGAGCUACUGGACAACAUCUGACGCUGAGGCUCGAAGGCUAGGGGAGCAAAAGGG
rnacentral:rRNA from 1 species